UACGUAGGGGGCUAGCGUUGUCCGGAAUCAUUGGGCGUAAAGCGCGCGUAGGCGGCCCGGUAAGUCCGUUGUGAAAGUCAAAGGCUCAACCUUUGAAAGCCGAUGGAUACUGCCGGGCUGGAGUCCGGAAGAGGCGAGUGGAAUUCCUGGUGUAGCAGUGAAAUGCGUAGAGAUCAUGAGGAAGACCAGUGGCGAAGGCGGGUCUCUGGACAGUUCCUGACACUGAGACACGAAGGCCAGGGAGCAAACGGG
rnacentral:rRNA from 1 species